rnacentral:tmRNA from 1 species
GGGGAUGAAAGGCUUCGACGAGAAUGUCAAUUCGUGUGUCGCAGGUCGAGCUGACCACCUCGUACCACUGGUCAAACACAUAACUGCAAAUCAAAAAACUGCAGCUCCCGCUUUCGCUUUCGCGUAAACGGGACAUCGGCCCCCCAGGCUCCAUAAGGAUCAGCCGGUGCUAUACUUUGAAGCUCGCCACGGCAAACUGGCCUCAUAGCCGCGGUUAAAAAAUGAGGUCGCCAUUGUCUUGAGUUUAUCGAAAGACUAAACCUGUAGAAAACCCACGAAAAGCUUCCCGGACGCGAGUUCGAUUCUCGCCAUCUCCACAU